rnacentral:rRNA from 1 species
AAACUACAAAGGAAGUUGACGGGGCCCGGCACAAGCGGAGGAGCAUGUGGUUUAAUUCGAUGAUACGCGAGGAACCUUACCUGGGCUCGAACGUAAGAUGACUGUAGGUGAAAGCUUACAUCUCUUCGGAGCAUUUUACGAGGUGCUGCAUGGUUGUCGUCAGCUCGUGCCGUGAGGUGUCGGGUUAAGUCCCAUAACGAGCGCAACCCCUACCUUUAGUUGCCAUCAGGUUAAGCUGGGGACUCUAAAGGAACUGCCUACGCAAGUAGUGAGGAAGGCGGGGAUGACGUCAAAUCAGCACGGCCCUUACGUCCAGGGCUACACACGUGCUACAAUGGCCGAUACAGAGGGCAGCUACCUGGCGACAGGAUGCAAAUCUCCAAAGUCGGUCUCAGUUCGGAUCGGAGUCUGCAACCCGACUCCGUGAAGUUGGAUUCGCUAGUAAUCGCGCAUCAGCCAUGGCGCGGUGAAUACGUUCCCGGGCCUU